GACGAACGCUGGCGGCGUGCUUAACACAUGCAAGUCGAACGGAAAGGCCCUGCUUUUGUGGGGUGCUCGAGUGGCGAACGGGUGAGUAACACGUGAGUAACCUGCCCUUGACUUUGGGAUAACUUCAGGAAACUGGGGCUAAUACCGGAUAGGAUCUCCUGCUGCAUGGUGGGGGUUGGAAAGUUUCGGCGGUUGGGGAUGGACUCGCGGCUUAUCAGCUUGUUGGUGGGGGAGGGGAUUACCAAGGCUUUGACGGGUAGCCGGCCUGAGAGGGUGAACGGCCACCAUGGGACUGCGAUACGGCCCAGACUCCUACGGGAGACAGCAGUGGGGAGUAUUGCACAAUGGGCGCAAGCCUGAUGAGGAAACGCUGCGUGCGGGAUGACGGCCUUCGGGUUGUAAACCGCUUUCGCCUGUGACGAAGCGUGAGUGACGGUACUGGAUAAAGAAGCACCGGCUAACUACGUG
rnacentral:rRNA from 1 species